rnacentral:rRNA from 1 species
ACAAGCGCGUGGAGCAUGUGGCUUAAUUUGACUCAACACGGGAAAUCUUACCGGGUCCGGACAUACCGAGGAUUGACAGACUGUUAACUGCAACACAAGCUGCUAAGUUUUAAACUUAAUAGCUCUUUCAUGAUUAUAUGAUAGGUGGUGCAUGGCCGUUCUUAGUUCGUGGAGUGAUCUGUCUGCUUAAUUGCGUUUCAAAAUUUAAACCUGAGCGACAAGGUGCUGCUAUCGAAACUGUCUUUGAGUGUGAACUAUAAGUCUUUUGACUUAUGACCAUCACUCUAGACGUUUAUGUUUUGGUGUUGGCCCUUGAUGCUCAUUUGAACGCAACGGACGUGAUUGCAACCCCUUGUUGAGAUUUAUCCGAUCUCUACGUUCACUGAACCACACUCUUUAGCGAGAGCAGUGGGGAUGUGGAUAAACUCGGGGGACUGCUGACUAUAAACUUUUCUCAAACCAGAGGAA